ACACGACUACAUUAGAUACCCGGGUAGUCCUAGCCGUAAACGAUACUCGCUAGGUGUCGGCCACGGUGCGACCGUUGUCGGUGCCGUAGGGAAGCCGUGAAGCGAGCCACCUGGGAAGUACGGCCGCAAGGCUGAAACUUAAGGAAUUGGCGGGGGAGCACAACAACGGGUGGAGCUUGCGGUUUAAUUGGAUUCAACGCCGGAAAUCUUACCGGGACCGACAGCAACAUGAAGGCCAAGCUGAAGACUUUGCCGGAUUAGCUG
rnacentral:rRNA from 1 species